rnacentral:rRNA from 1 species
GACGAACGCUGGCGGCGUGCUUAACACAUGCAAGUCGAACGAUGAAGCCGGAGCUUGCUCCGGUGGGUUAGUGGCGAACGGGUGAGUAACACGUGAGCAAUCUGCCCUUGACUCUGGGAUAACUGCGGGAAACUGUAGCUAAUACCGGAUACGACACCUUGGGGCAUCCUAGGGUGUGGAAAGAAUUUCGGUCAAGGAUGAGCUCGCGGCCUAUCAGCUAGUUGGUGAGGUAAUGGCUCACCAAGGCGACGACGGGUAGCCGGCCUGAGAGGGUGACCGGCCACACUGGAACUGAGACACGGUCCAGACUCCUACGGGAGGCAGCAGUGGGGAAUAUUGCACAAUGGGCGAAAGCCUGAUGCAGCAACGCCGUGUGAGGGAUGAAGGCCUUCGGGUUGUAAACCUCUUUUAGCAGGGAAGAAGCGAAAGUGACGGUACCUGCAGAAAAAGCACCGGCUAACUACGUGCCAGCAGCCGCAGUAA